rnacentral:rRNA from 1 species
AAACACCUUUUAGAGGGGAGUAAAAAGGAGGGCGAGCCGCUGAUGUGGAGAAAGAUAAAAGCACCGUUUUUUGCGGCUUUUCUUCACCCCCCGGGAAGAAGUCCUGCAGCAGCCGGCCCCCCAAUUGGGCAACUGUUGGGGUCCUCCUGCGCGCCGAAGGUGCAUCUUCAGGUGGAAUGGUCCGCAAGGAUCCUAGCAGCCACAUGAACCCCCCUUUUUGGCCACCCUCUUGGUUCCCCGCCUUGGGGGAGGGGUGUUUUUUUUUAGGGCAACAAAGGGCAUGGCUUACGGGCCCGAUUAUGGCCGAGCUGUGGGUCGGCGGCGGUCGCUUGCGACACGUGCUGUGCCAGCAGUUCGGUCCUGGUCGAGCUCCCACAGUGCCCAUUCUCGGUGUAAGAGCUGGUCAUCUCUCCGACCCGUCUUGAAACACGGACCAAGGAGUUUAUCGUGUGCGCGAGUCAUUGGGCGUUGAAAACCCAAAGGCGCAAUGAAAGUGAAGUGCCACGCAAGUGGCUGAUGUGCGAUGUUGUGUUCCAAGGCACACGACCGCAGCAUGGCCCCAUCCUGGCUGCUUGCAGCGGGGUGGAGGAAGAGCGUGCGCGAUGAGACCCGAAAGAUGGUGAACUAUUCCUGAGCAGGAUGAAGCCAGAGGAAACUCUGGUGGAAGUCCGAAGCGAUUCUGACGUGCAAAUCGAUCGUC